UGAGAGGCACAGAGAAGGGGUUAUAGC
rnacentral:misc_RNA from 1 species